rnacentral:rRNA from 1 species
AAUAGAUACCCAGGUAGUCCACGCCGUAAACGAUGAGUGCUAAGUGUUGGGGGGUUUCCGCCCCUCAGUGCUGCAGCUAACGCAUUAAGCACUCCGCCUGGGGAGUACGGUCGCAAGACUGAAACUCAAAGGAAUUGACGGGGGCCCGCACAAGCGGUGGAGCAUGUGGUUUAAUUCGAAGCAACGCGAAGAACCUUACCAGGUCUUGACAUCCCGGUGACCACUAUGGAGACAUAGUUUCCCCUUCGGGGGCAACGGUGACAGGUGGUGCAUGGUUGCCGUCAGCUCGUGUCGUGAGAUGUUGGGUUAAGUCCCGCAACGAGCGCAACCCUUAUUCUUAGUUGCCAUCAUUUAGUUGGGCACUCUAAGGAGACUGCCGGUGAUAAACCGGAGGAAGGUGGGGAUGACGUCAAAUCAUCAUGCCCCUUAUGACCUGGGCUACACACGUGCUACAAUGGACGGUACAAACGGUUGCCAACCCGCGAGGGGGAGCUAAUCCGAUAAAACCGUUCUCAGUUCGGAUUGUAGGCUGCAACUCGCCUACA